AGAGUCACUCCUACGGGAGGCAGCAGUGGGGAAUUGUUCGCAAUGGGCGCAAGCCUGACGACGCAACGCCGCGUGGAGGAUGAAGACCUUCGGGUCGUAAACUCCUUUCGACCGAGAUGAAUGCCCUUCCAUCUAACACAUGGAAGGAAUGACAGUAUCGAGGGAAGAAGCCCCGGCUAACUCCGUGCCAGCAGCCGCGGUAAUACGGGGGGGGCAAGCGUUGUUCGGAAUUACUGGGCGUAAAGGGCGCGUAGGCGGCCUGCUAAGUCGAACGUGAAAUCCCCGGGCUCAACCCGGGAACUGCGUCCGAUACUGGUUGGCUUGAAUCCGGGAGAGGGAUGCGGAAUUCCAGGUGUAGCGGUGAAAUGCGUAGAUAUCUGGAGGAACACCGGUGGCGAAGGCGCUGCUCUGGGCCGAUACUGACGCUGAGGAGCGAAAGCGUGGGUAGCAAACAGGAUUAGAUACCCCGGUAGUCCUGGCCCUAAACGAUGGAUACUUGGUGUGUCGGGUCUUCAAGUCCCGGCGUGCCGGAGCUAACGCGUUAAGUAUCCCGCCUGGGGAGUACGGUCGCAAGGCUGAAACUUAAAGGAAUUGACG
rnacentral:rRNA from 1 species